rnacentral:rRNA from 1 species
UACGUAGGGUGCAAGCGUUGUCCGGAAUUAUUGGGCGUAAAGAGCUCGUAGGCGGUCUGUCGCGUCGGCUGUGAAAACCCGGGGCUCAACCCCGGGCCUGCAGUCGAUACGGGCAGACUAGAGUGCGGUAGGGGAGACUGGAAUUCCUGGUGUAGCGGUGAAAUGCGCAGAUAUCAGGAGGAACACCGGUGGCGAAGGCGGGUCUCUGGGCCGAAACUGACGCUGAGGAGCGAAAGCGUGGGGAGCGAACAGG